AACGUAGGAGACAAACGUUAUCCGGAGUUACUGGGCGUAAAGGGCUCGUAGGCGGCCAACUAAGUCGGAUGUGAAAUCCCCAAGCUUAACUUGGGAACUGCAUCCGAUACUGGAUGGCUUGAAUCCGGGAGAGGGAUGCAGAAUUCCAGGUGUAGCGGUGAAAUGCGUAGAUAUCUGGAGGAAUACCGGUGGCGAAGGCGGCAUCCUGGACCGGCAUUGACGCUGAGGAGCGAAAGCUAGGGGAGCAAACGGG
rnacentral:rRNA from 1 species